AUGAUCCUGGUUAUUUGUUACCGUCACUUCCCGAGGCAGAAUUUGCUGUAGCUUUUGAAGAUGCUGUUCGUCUUAGCAGUGAAAGAUUCAUUGUUCCUUUCUCUCUUAUUUGGAAAAUCAAACGAGCUUUAAACAUUGGAUCGGAGAAAAAACUAAGGGUUGCUGUAGCACAAGUACGUGAAUUUGCCAAGGAGGUUGUUACAGAAAAACAAAAGGAGCUAAACGAUAAAUCAUCGCUCGAUUCAGCUGAUUUAUUGUCAAGAUUCUUGAGUACAGGUCAUUCAGAUGAAGACUUUGUUACGGAUAUUGUGAUCAGCUUUAUACUGGCAGGACGUGACACAACUUCAGCAGCUUUAACAUGGUUUUUUUGGCUAAUUUCGAAACACCCUGAAGUGGAAUCACAUAUCAUGAAAGAAAUUGGAGAGAAAUCAGAAUCUUUAUUACUCUAUGAUGAAGUGAAGAACAUGAUGUAUACUCAUGCAUCUCUUUGUGAAAGCAUGAGAUUUUAUCC
rnacentral:lncRNA from 1 species